rnacentral:pre_miRNA from 1 species
AAUGAAAUUACUGGAUCAAACGGCAAGUGCAUUUGUAGUUUCAGAAGAAAUUGUCAGACUUUUUCACAGUGGUUGUACCAUUUUAUAUUCCUCCCAGUAAU